CUCCAGUUACUGCAAGGUACUGCACUCACUGGACAACAAGCUCCCUGGUGUGAGUUUGACCUCACCCCCUCUCUGUUUUUGCAUUUUGGGUGGGAAGCUCUCUAGACCUGGAGGAAGCCAUGGACAUGGGCUGCUUUGUGACUUAUGAUUUCUCUGUUAGGGAUUUGCCUCUUUAAAAUGGUGAGUGAGUUGCCAGUAAAACAACAGGAUUAAAUCAAUAGUUUGGCCAUUGAAAUGAAAACCACUGUGAGAGGAGCAAACAGGAGUGUAAGGAGAGAGCGACUCAAGAGACAGAGGAGGCCGUGGCUUUAGAUGACUCUGGGAGAUGGUACUGAAGCUGUGCAUGAAAGAUGAGAAGCGGGCAGACAUGUGAAGGGUUGAGGAAGCAGAGUCCCAGGCAGCAGCCACGGCAAGGGCUAACCUUUGCAAGCUUGGUGCACUCACAGAACCGGAAGGAGGCCGGUUGGCUGGAGCAACGUAAACCAGGGAGUGACCCCAGAAGGGGCUAAGGAUGGAGUGAGUUUGAGCCCUUUUGAUGUGCCAUGGGAGGGCAUGGUAAGAUUUUCAUCCUUAAAGCCUUUCCCAAGGGUUUUUCAGUGGGAGACGCAUGAUCUAAUUGCUGGUGACCAAGACUGCUGGGGCUUCUCUGUGGAGCCAGGACUACAGGGGAAGAGAGUGGAAGCAGGUGGUGGCUGGUGAGUGAAGUCCAGAGGGCGAUAAAAGCACAUCAGAACGGCGGGUGAGCUCUCAACCCAGGAAACCUCAGCUCUUACUUGACUGGUUCUUUCAGUUGAGAGCAUGGACUGUAGGCCAACUUUGAGGUCCCUGUGGGUGUCACAGUGCUCAUCAGCUGGAAGGCCGCGGCCCACCCCAGGUACCUGUGCUGUGCACUGCCUGGAAGCCUUUCCUCUGCACUGAGGCAUCCGAAUAAAACCUGAGAAACAGACUACUGCCCGAAGCCACCAAGGGAUCUGGUUUCUUGCUGCCGCAGAAACGGCCCAGGAUGGGGGCCAGGAUGUUGGGCCCGUCGUACAUUUCCAGAUGAGGAAAUGGAGAUUCAGAGCUGUCAGAUGACUUGCCCAAGGUCACACACUGGCAGAGUUGGGCCAUGAUCUGGCGCUCUGACGUCAGAGACGCUGCUGUUGACCUGCGCACUCUGCUGCAUCAUCCUUCAGUACCAGUGACACAGGUGAGACUGCAUGAGGCGCACACUGCUCCAGGCAGCAUCCUCAUGGUGGCUGACACUGUUUAUUCCAUGCCAAGCAUUUACGGGCAUUUCCUCACUUUCUUCUGGUGAUGCUGUGAAGGAAGAGCUAUUAUUUCCAACAUGCAGAAGGGGAAAGUGAGUCUUAGAGAAGCCGGCUGGCCUGCCCAAGCUCACACAGCUGGAGACAGAUGAAACUGAAUUUGACCCCAGCCAGACUUCUCCAGCCCCCACUGCUAUCCGUCACCAGGUUAUCCUGCCUCACUUCUCCCUGUUCCCCCUAAGGACUGUCCCCUAGCACUGGCCAGGGGAGCCCCACCAUUCCAGGCUUUUCAGCCCUGAAUGCAGGCUUCUCAGGUACUGGGUAGGUGGCUGACUGAUGGCAGCCCCAGCGUCAAGGGAGAUGGGAAAGGUGAGCGGGGACUGUGUUAGAUGAAGACUUGGACCAAAUGACAGAGCAGGGAGAAGGACAUUAGUUAGGGGGUCGCAAUUUGAAAGAGCAAGGCCAGCCUGGCAGUGCGGAGAUGGAGGUUGGGAGGGGGACACAGGACCACCACGGCAAUGCAGGCUUUCAGAAGGAUGACUCUGACACACUACCGCACUUGGGCAGAGCUCUCCUGCCUGUGAAAUAGGGAGCGCUGGGGCCAGGGUGGUGGGUAGAGACGCGGGGCAGGGGAGCAGUGGCACCAGGACGGCCAUGCAGUGGGAGGGAGCCUUAGGCCAACAGGGAGGGAGCUCCCUGGAGGCCCAUGGGGCGCCCUGUCACCAUCCCCAUGCAGUGAACACCACCAGCUUCCUUGAGAAAUAUUCAACUCACAUUCUAUGGUAGCAAAAAGAGCGCAAUCAAUAUAUCCACCAACCAUUUCCCAAGGAAACGCCUUUUGGAAACUACCACGUUUGUGUACGAGCCUCAGGCAAGCCCUUCCCGUGUGCGUUUGCGCGCUCCCAACGCCAGAGGGCGCCUCCCCCGCGGUCCUCGGGGCUCUGCGUUGCCAUCGCGAACAUUUCCCAGCAGAUGGCGGUCUUGGAGAAGCAGUGCCUUUCCCUAAGGCGCUCUCCAGCGCAUCCUCACCCAGAUUCAAGGCUGACCCUGGACAGCUUCUCUUAGCACAGCGGCAGUUUCCCCAGCAUGUGAGCACUCUGUGGUCAGGGGCCCUGUCUUCACCCAUCGACGCCUUGGGGGCCCAUUCGCCUCUUCUGCUUCUAACUCAUGGCUCUCACCAAUAAACAUCCUGCAAGUCCCUGCGCCCUAGUCCAUUGACCAUGGCUUCCCCCUCUCCGUUCUCCUUCACUGUCCCUAACUUAUCUGUCCAUAGUUCAGAGGGCUAAUCCUACUCACCUCUACAGUCAGAAAACCCCACUUAAAAAAAUGCCCGUCUGCCGGAAGUACAAUACAUUCUCCAACUGGCAAAAGGGUUUCUUUAUUCUCCAAAAUGUGGGAGUCCCUGGAGGCUGAGAAAUGAGACUCCUAGGAGAUUCAACUCUCCUUUGAAAUAACUGAGCUUGGUGUGCACACCACACGCCAUAUAUGUGAAAAAGACUUUAAAUAAAGGCUUGGGGGAAACUUUUUAAA